AUUUGUGACAAUGCCACGUUGUAAGCACGACAUCUCGUCGGGUCUGUCAAGUUAAGCAACGUUGGGCCUGGUUAGUACUUGGAUCGGAGACGGCCUGGGAAUCCCAGGUGUUGUAGACA
rfam:Brugia malayi, FR3, WGS project CAPY01000000 data, contig: ctg1509702